GUACACUCCUACGGGAGGCAGCAGUGGGGAAUAUUGGACAAUGGGCGCAAGCCUGAUCCAGCCAUGCCGCGUGAGUGAUGAAGGCCCUAGGGUUGUAAAGCUCUUUCACCGGUGAAGAUAAUGACGGUAACCGGAGAAGAAGCCCCGGCUAACUUCGUGCCAGCAGCCGCGGUAAUACGAAGGGGGCUAGCGUUGUUCGGAUUUACUGGGCGUAAAGCGCACGUAGGCGGACUAUUAAGUCAGGGGUGAAAUCCCGGGGCUCAACCCCGGAACUGCCUUUGAUACUGGUAGUCUUGAGUUCGAGAGAGGUGAGUGGAAUUCCGAGUGUAGAGGUGAAAUUCGUAGAUAUUCGGAGGAACACCAGUGGCGAAGGCGGCUCACUGGCUCGAUACUGACGCUGAGGUGCGAAAGCGUGGGGAGCAAACAGGAUUAGAUACCCUUGUAGUCCC
rnacentral:rRNA from 1 species